rnacentral:rRNA from 1 species
UCUUUUAGAUUUCCUUCGGGGAAGAAGAAAUUGUGACUGAGUGGCGGACGGGUGAGUAACGCGUGGGCAACCUGCCCCAUACAGGGGGAUAACAGCCGGAAACGGCUGCUAAAACCGCAUAAGCGCACAAGGGCCGCAUGGCCUGGUGUGAAAAACUCCGGUGGUAUGGGAUGGGCCCGCGUCUGAUUAGCUAGUUGGCGGGGGAGAGGCCCACCAAGGCGACGAUCAGUAGCCGACCUGAGAGGGUGGCCGGCCACAUUGGGACUGAGACACGGCCCAAACUCCUACGGGAGGCAGCAGUGGGGAAUAUUGCACAAUGGGGGAAACCCUGAUGCAGCGACGCCGCGUGAGCGAAGAAGUAUUUCGGUAUGUAAAGCUCUAUCAGCAGGGAAGAAAAAUGACGGUACCUGAGUAAGAAGCACCGGCUAAAUACGUGCCAGCAGCCGCGGUAAUACGUAUGGUGCAAGCGUUAUCCGGAUUUACUGGGUGUAAAGGGAGCGCAGGCGGUGCGGCAAGUCUGAUGUGAAAGCCCGGGGCUCAACCCCGGGACUGCAUUGGAAACUACCGAACUAGAGUGUCGGAGAGGUAAGUGGAAUUCCUAGUGUAGCGGUGAAAUGCGUAGAUAUUAAGAGGAACACCAGUGGCGAAGGCGGCUUACUGGACGAUAACUGACGCU